UCCAGAAGUCACACGCUUGCCCAAAGUGCCGCACAAGGAUACACCUAGGAAAAGUUUGGUUGCUGCUCCAGUGCCUCUUGGAAAAAAGGCAAUUUUGCCACCGCUGAAGCAAACACUGGGGAACAGUUUUGUUGAGAGACAGAAGAGGACUCAGGCUGUUCAAAGAAGCCGUCUUCAUCGAACUGCCUUUUAAUUCAGCAUUAUUCGUCUUGUUUCCUUAUGACUGCCUUGAGAGUUCAAACCACACGUGUAUGAUAGAUUCUUCAGCUGUUACCACAUCAUUCCACGUUAAAAG